rnacentral:sRNA from 1 species
CGAUUUCGACCUGCUGGGGACUGAUAUAAUGCACGUGGGAAUCAACGCCCCCGGCCGUAACGAUCAUAUUUUCCGCAGAAAUAACCUCGGUUCCGACCCCGAUAAUCAUCCCCGGCGUAACCCCGUCCAUCACCAUGGGAUUGCCCGCUUUGCCGAUACCUGCAAUUUUGCCGUCCUUUACGCCGAUAUCUGCUUUUACAAUUCCCCAUGUAUCAAUGAUGAUGGCAUUGGUAAUAACCAGAUCCAGCACGCCUUCAUCUCUUGUAGCCAGCGGAUGUUGUCCCAUGCCGUCCCG